UACGUAGGGGGCAAGCGUUGUCCGGAAUUACUGGGCGUAAAGGGCGCGUAGGCGGCUACGGCAGUCGGGUGUGAAAGCCCGGGGCUCAACCCCGGAACGGCAUCCGAUACUCUGUGGCUAGAGACCGGAAGAGGUGGGUGGAAUACCCAGUGUAGAGGUGAAAUUCGUAGAUAUUGGGUGGAACACCGGUGGCAGCAAGCGGCUACGUCGGUUCCGGUUCGUGAGCGCAUGA
rnacentral:rRNA from 1 species